GGGGCGCAGUAUGGGCACUGGACGGCAGAAGCGGAAGGCAUUGUACUGAAUCUGUUUCGAAGCAAUGACUUUUGUUUCGCACUGUUACAUAUUUUUGCUGAGAAAUAUUUUAGUACGAGAAAUAAGGAUAUAUAUAGAGAGAAAAAAUGCCAAACCAUCAUUUCUGGUUGUACCGAAAAGAUAAAAAUUAUUGCAUUCAUGCAGAAGGGCACCAUAUUGGACACUGCUCCCUUUUCAAGAAAAGGGACCUAAAAGAUUUAGUUGAUGUGAAGUGAGGGCUACGGUGAAAUUGGAGAAACAGACUGGAUGUAGAAUGAAAGUCACCAGAAACAUAAGGCCCCUUUGUUUGUUUGGUUUGGCCCAAACAGAUGUCUGUCGCACCACUAUUCACAGAAUCUGUAGUGUCGUCAGCAUCAUCUUUAUGAAGUGUUCCAGUAGUGUGGCAGUGGUAGCAAAUGACCACAUCUGAAGGACCAUGAUAGCACGUCAUCCCUCCUGAUUGUCAAUGAUACAGUUGCAUAUUUAAUGCAACAGAUAACCGUUCCUGAAUGGAGAGGGGAUCUAGUAUUUGACUACUGUCUCAUGUGAUUGUUAAAUGAUGUCACAACUAGCCAGUUCUUGUUCUUUGCAUUGCUAUCAGAGGAUCGGUGUCCUGUUAAGAGGCAUAUUAACAUUCUUUACCAUGAUUGGCUGCACACUCUCAGGGUUGACGUCUGGUAACCUAAAUACAGCCAAAGCAAGCUGUGGGUAGCAACCCUAGAGAGAAACAUUGAGAGCUGCCCAACACUGUGUUCUGCUGCUGGAGUAGUUGAAACACGGCAAUAUCCUGGAAAUGGAUUGGCAACCUUGUCGUCAAUCACUCGCUUCCUAGACCAGAGCUGAAUUAUCCUUCUACAUUCAUAGGAAGAUGUACGAGAAGAAUGGUGUUAGGGGCAAGUGGAUUGAUGCUUGUGUACAGUGUUUCAUAAGCUGUGCAUGUGUCCUUGUGGUGCCGACUAGCUUGUGCUGCCAUUGAGGUCACAAUUGGGAAUGAUGGCACACAAAGAAUUAUCUUAUGAUGUUCUUGCCUAAAUGUCCUGGUAAGGUUUAAACUCUUCAGUUUGAAGAGCUAUGUUCAGGUGUGUUUGCAUCCUGUGGAUUCCCAAUGACAAACCACGUGAACUGACCCUAUUGUGGUAUUGUGGUUGGAGGCUAGACUGGCAAACAGACCUUAAUGCUGAAAGCUUGGUUUGCCGUCAGAUCCCUUUUCCUAAACUGUGUCCUUAUGCAAUAUUGUGUGUGUGUGUGUGUGUGUGUGUGUGUGUGUGUGUGUGUGUGGUGUGUUUUCAGGCAAAACAAAUGCUAGUGGGCAUCUUUGAGUGCAUCUGCUGCCCAUAGAUUGUAUUUGCUUAUGUACUGCUGCUGGAUAUAGGGAUGUUCCAAUACCAGAUUCAAUAAGAUAUUUGGUAUCAAUACCAAUACAUACAGUUAUAUACGUCUCGUGAUAAUAUAGGAACAAAAGUAUUGAUAUUGAAAAAAAACAGCAAGGUAUUGAUGGCGUUUUACAUAUUUUUGAGCUUUCCUUUAAGACAAAUGGUUUAGAAUACAGUGCAAAAUAUGGGACAUACACUGUAUGUACAUGAACUGACUUCAGUAUAAAGUGUAGUAUACACAAAGCAAUAACAGUGAAAUUUUCAAAAUUUCAACCAAAAUAGAGGCAUAGAUGUAAAUUUCAUCUAACACACAAAUGCCAUUCUUAAAAACAAAACUAUUUUCGUAGUGAAAAGUUGCAUUUAACUAAAAUAUUCUGUUUUGAUAUGCUGCCUAAAAUAUUUAUUUUGGUUGGUUUUUGGCAAAAAUUUGAUCUCCCUGUUGCGAGAGUGGAGUGCCAGGUUCGUGGUUGGAGGGGUGUUUGUUGUUUCACGAGGCACUGAAGUUGCCAUAUUGAGGAAAUGAAUGCUUGCGUGUUUUUAUAAUGUGUGAAAAAAUGGUCUUGUUGUUCUCUCAUUCUGUUAGAGAAUUUGAUUUCAGAGGGUCAUCCUCUUCUGCCAGGAGCAAGGACAAGCUUGUAAUAUAUCCUCCCAAAAUAAGUGUUUUUACGUAUCGUCUUCCUCAUAUUUGCCAGAGGAACUUUCUCCAGAUGAAUAAUGGCUCAAGAAUUAUACUGACUGCAGAUAUGUAAUUUUCUGCUGCAGAUCAAACGGCUUCGACGUUUCAGCAGUGUAACAACUCACUUCUGCUAAAAUAUUAGCACUGUUAAGAGUUGAAAUUGUUCAUUUAUGUGAACAGUUUACCACUGAAAUUAUUUUGAGUAUUGUACUUAACCAAGAACACUGUAAUUUAUUGCUCGAACAGUACACACACAUGGAAGACAAGGUAGUCGGCGCGUGGACAAGGUACAAUACAAUUAGCAAUACGUCAGUGGCCAGCAGAGCCUUGUGCUCCAGCCUACAUAGACAUUAGUUCCAACAGGUGGUGCAGCCGGCAUGCUGCGCACAAAACUGCUGUCAUAUUAGUAGAUCAAAUGGCCUCUAGUGGCAAAAAAAAAAAAAACUUCACACGUGAACUAUGAAGCAGCACGCACACGAAAUUGGUAGUUACAGCCAGUAUGUUUAUUCAUUUCUCUCCCAAGAUUUCCAUAACAACCCACUUGUUCAGCUGAAGUAACACAGUAGUAGUCGAAGCUCUUAGCUCUCACUGGCACAUGUCAUUUUCAGUCUUAAAGUGUCAUUCAGAAAAGCAAAUCUCAGGAUUUUCUUCUUGUGUAGGAAUCUUUAGAAGAUACAGUAGGUUGAUUUCUAACUUAUUUUCACAUCUAGAAUUACGCUUUCUGUAUUCCCUUGUGGAGGAAUAGUGCUGUGGCCACAAAGCAGCAGAAUCUCAAGUGAACUGGGAAAAACCCAAACAGACUCGAAUAUCUGUGGAAAUAACAAACAACAAAUGUCCUAAGUGAGACAUUCGCAAAGACAACACGAGGUGUGCAAGUGACCCCAUAAGCAAGCAGGUUUGAAAGAGUGACUAAAGGGGAAAACAAAACAGUGCAAUAACAUAAUAGACACAAUCUAGUGUCAGGCAUAAUGGCACCUGUAUACAACAGAAGCAAAUAACAGACUGACAAAUUUCUGGCUGUGGAGCUGUAUUUAAGUGUGUACUACAUGUAAAAGAAAAAAAAAAAUACAAAAAAAUACAUAAUUGAAUAAUAGAAUUGUAGCAAGUACAGCUGUGUCACAUAGCUUUGUCUGAUUAUCCCCCCCACCCCAAUGGAUUAUACAGAAAGAUACUACCAAUAGAGAUCAGAAACGAGCUCUGUACAUGCAUUUUAAAUUUUACAGUGGGUCCUGUGGUGUCAUCUCCUAACUUGCUGUCUGGAGAAUUUACUCUCCAGGCUGCACUACUGACCAUUUAACUAAUAACUUUUCAUUUGAGUCAGUCUGUUGUCAGGUAAAAGUAGACUACACCAGUAUAGAAUGAUGAAUAAGUAUACAAUGUGAGUUCACAAGUAUAACAGAAUCUCACGGCAUUGCCACUAUGUACACAACUGUUGGCCAUGACAACUUUUAUAAGGGGCGUUCA